rnacentral:rRNA from 1 species
GUGAAGCGGCAACAGCUCAAAUUUGAAAUCUGGCGCAAGCCCGAGUUGUAAUUUGCAGAGGAUGCUUCGGCGUCGGCCCCGUUCUAAGUUCCUUGGAACAGGACGUCCUAGAGGGUGAGAACCCCGUCUUCGAUCGGGUCGCCUUCGCCAUGUGAAGCUCCUUCGACGAGUCGAGUUGUUUGGGAAUGCAGCUCUAAGCGGGAGGUAAAUUUCUUCUAAAGCUAAAUAACGGCCAGAGACCGAUAGCGCACAAGUAGAGUGAUCGAAAGAUGAAAAGCACUUUGGAAAGAGAGUUAAAAAGCACGUGAAAUUGUUAAAAGGGAAGCUCAUGCUGCCAGACUUGGCCGAGGCUCUUCGGGGCUUCGGGCAGGCCAGCAUCAGUUCGGGGGGCCUGAUAAAGGUCUCGGCAAUGUAGCUCCCCCGGGAGUGUUAUAGGCCGAGGCGUAAUGGGGCCAUCCUGGACUGAGGAUCGCGUUCGCUAGGAUGCUGGCGUAAUGGCAGUAUGCGACCCGUCUUGAAACACGGACCA